CAGCAGUGGGGAAUUUUCCGCAAUGGGCGCAAGCCUGACGGAGCAAGACCGCGUGAGGGAGGAAGGCUCUUGGGUUGUAAACCUCUUUUAUCAGGGAAGAAGAUCUGACGGUACCUGAUGAAUCAGCAUCGGCUAACUCCGUGCCAGCAGCCGCGGUAAUACGGAGGAUGCAAGCGUUAUCCGGAUUUAUUGGGCGUAAAGCGUCCGCAGGUGGUUUUUCAAGUCUGCUGUUAAAGCGCAGAGCUUAACUCUGUAACGGCGGUGGAAACUGAGAGACUAGAGUAUGGUAGGGGUUGCGGGAAUUCCCAGUGUAGCGGUGAAAUGCGUAGAUAUUGGGAAGAACACCAGCGGCGAAAGCGCGCAACUGGGCCAUUACUGACACUCAUGGACGAAAGCUAGGGGAGCGAAAGGGAUUAGAUACCCCUGUAGUCCUAGCUGUAAACGAUGGGUACUAGGUGUUGACCGUAUCGACCCGGUCAGUGCCGUAGCUAACGCGUUAAGUACCCCGCCUGGGGAGUAUGCACGCAAGUGUGAAACUCAAAGGAAUUGACGGGGGCCCGCACAAGCGGUGGAGUAUGUGGUUUAAUUCGAUGCAACGCGAAGAACCUUACCAGGGCUUGACAUGUCGCGAAUCUCGGUGAAAGUCGAGAGUGCCUUC
rnacentral:rRNA from 1 species